ACCUGCUGGUCAUGCUGACCACCGCCGCCCGAGCAUGGCUGACAGGGCUACCAAGGUACACCAUCAACAGCUGGGCCGAGAUGAAGGGACAGUU
rnacentral:snoRNA from 10 species